rnacentral:lncRNA from 1 species
AGGAAAGAAUCCUGAAAAAUGAUGAUCCUUACAAUACACAUUCUGUUUUUCAAUAAAAGGUUACCAUCUAGCAAGAGAAAGAAGCAUGCUAACAUUACUCACAAUAAAUGUGAUAUAUAGUCUAAAAGACAGAAAUAAAAGUCCGGAGGAAUACAGAACUGGGGUAAAUGGGUAGUUCUGUCAAAGGCCACUGUGGAAGGUGUAUAGUGAUGUCUUCUUAUCUGGACAUUGUAAUGGGGAAUUUGAAAUUAUUUCCAAACAAUCAAAGGUUCCACCUGCACUUAAGGGAGUGGAGGUUCAUACAAGGGUAUACAUCUGAAGUCUCUUUCUGUCCAUUCCCUGCCUCUGCUGAACAAGCUACCUGUACCUGUUGAAGUCCUUGCAUUAAGCAUACGAACAUUCAGGUUUUUCAGUUCAGAGCAGUAUCUACUCACACAUUUUACCUAUAAAAUGAUUACCAACGAACACAUAUU